GAGUUUGAUCAUGGCUCAGGAUGAACGCUAGCGGGAGGCUUAACACAUGCAAGUCGAGGGGCAUCACGAGGUAGCAAUACUUUGGUGGCGACCGGCGCACGGGUGAGUAACGCGUAUGUAACCUACCCUGUACAGGGGGAUAGCCCGGAGAAAUUCGGAUUAAUACCCCAUAAUGAUAUUGAGAGGCAUCUUUUAAUAUUUAAAGUUUCAACGGUACGGGAUGGGCAUGCGUGACAUUAGCUAGUUGGUAGGGUAACGGCUCACCAAGGCUACGAUGGUUAGGGGGUCUGAGAGGAUGAUCCCCCACACUGGUACUGAGACACGGACCAGACUCCUACGGGAGGCAGCAGUGAGGAAUAUUGGGCAAUGGGCGCAAGCCUGACCCAGCCAUGCCGCGUGCAGGAUGACGGCGCUAUGCGUUGUAAACUGCUUUUGUUUAGGAAGAAACCCAUCUACGUGUAGGUGGUUGACGGUACUGAAUGAAUAAGCAUCGGCUAACUCCGUGCCUGCAGCCGCGGUAAUACGGAGGAUGCAAGCGUUAUCCGGAUUCAUUGGGUUUAAAGGGUGCGUAGGCGGAGUACUAAGUCAGCGAUGAAAUCCUGCAGCUUAACUGUAGAACUGUCAUUGAUACUGGUAUUCUUGAAUGCAGUUGAGGUAGGCGGAAUGUGUAAUGUAGCGGUGAA
rnacentral:rRNA from 1 species